rnacentral:rRNA from 2 species
GGUUAAGCGACUAAGCGUACACGGUGGAUGCCUAGGCAAUCAGAGGCGAUGAAGGACGUGCUAAUCUGCGAUAAGCGUCGGUAAGGUGAUAUGAACCGUUACAACCG